UACAGGGGGUGCAAACGUUGCUCGGAAGCAUUGGGCGUAAAGCGCACGUAGGCGGUUCGUUAUGUCGGAUGUGAAAGCCCUUGGCUUAACCGAGGAAGUGCAUCCGAAACUGGCGAGCUAGAGUACUAAAGAGGAUCGCGGAAUUCCCGGUGUAGAGGUGAAAUUCGUAGAUAUCGGGAGGAACACCGGUGGCGAAGGCGGCGAUCUGGGUAGAUACUGACGCUGAGGUGCGAAAGCGUGGGGAGCAAACAGG
rnacentral:rRNA from 1 species